ACCAGGGAAUGACUGUGGGAAGAAGCUGAAGAAGGUGGCAGGACUUUCCAGAAGAAGGAAAAAUAGGUGAGAAAACUGAGGGGCAGAGAGGUGAUAAUCACAUAACAAUCAAGUGUUAGAAAUAUGAUUCGAACCCAAGCUGUCCCUCCAGCACUGUUCUCCAAUUACACCCCAUAGGUGUGAACAAAGCCUGGAUGCUUCCCUAGGCUGAGAGGAAGUCUGUUGUAAUUCGAUGACGGAAUACUUCAUACUCUUUGGGGAACGGAUAAACAAUGGAAAAGACAACAGCCAAGAAAGAGGGUUCCAGCCAAAUCCCUGGGGAAGAACUGCUUGGGGAGUGGGAAGAGAAGAACCUGGGGAGCCCUGAAACAUCUAGAGCUCAUUAAACU